rnacentral:rRNA from 1 species
CUGUAUCCAGAGUACCGCCGGACACGUGAAACCCGGUGGGAAUAUGGGGGGACCAUCCUCCAAGCCUAAAUACUACUCGGUGACCGAUAGAGAAGAAGUACUGUGAAGGAAAGGUGAAAAGCACCCCGGAAGGGGAGUGAAAGAGAACCUGAAACCUUGUGUUUACAAGCACCGAAAGUUCAUCAACGAACGAUCGGGUACCUUUUGUAGAAUGGUCCGGCGAGUGAAUGUAACUGGCAAGGUUAAGCACUUAAGGUGUGAAGCCGUAGCGAGAGCGAGUCUGAAAAGGGCGCAUGAAGUCAGUUGUAUUCGACCCGAAACCGGGUGACCUACCCAUGUCCAGGCUGAAGUGCAGGUAAAACUUCAUGGAGGGCCGAACCGACUCCCGUUGAAAUGGUAGCGGAUGAGGUGUGGGUAGCGGAGAAAUUCCAAUCGAACCCGGAGAUAGCUGGUUCUCUCCGAAAUAGCUUUAGGGCUAGCCUUGGAAUAGAUUACUGGAGGUAAAGCACUGAAUUGGCUAGGGGCCGAGAGGUUACUGAACCUUAUCAAACUAAGAAUGCCAGAUAAUCGUUUUCCAGGAGUCAGACAGUGGGAGAUAAGUUUCAUUGUCAAAAGGGAAACAGCCCAGACCUACAGCUAAGGUCCCAAAGUAUAGUUAAGUGGAAAAGGAUGUGGAAUUGCAUAGACAACCAGGAUGUUGGCUUAGAAGCAGCCACUCAUUAAAAGAGUGCGUAAUAGCUCACUGGUCGAGUGAUUCUGCGCCGAAAAUUUAACGGGGCUAAACUAUACACCGAAGCUUAGGAUACCGCAAGGUAUGGUAGGAGAGCGUUCUGUACGGAGUGAAGUCGUAGCGAAAGCGGCGGUGGACUGUACAGAAGUGAGAAUGCCGGAAUAAGUAGCGAGAAUUAAGUGAGAAUCUUAAUGGCCGAAAGUCUAAGGUUUUUGGAGGAAGGUUCGUCCGCUCCAAGUAAGUCGGGAGCUAAGGUCAGGCCGAAAGGCGUAGCCGAUGCACAAACGGUUGAUAUUCCGUUACCGUCUACAAUUUAAACAAGGGGACACAUACAAAGCGUUUAACCCGGGCGAUGGUUGACCCGGGCGCAAGGGACUGAAAUAAGAGUAGGGAAGUAAAUGUGGCGUAUGGCGAGAAAAGCCUUGUGUAUAGAAGUAGACGCCCGUACCGCAAACCGACACAGGUGGACAGGAAGAGAAUUCUAAGGCCAGCGGGAGAAGGGUAGUUAAGGAACUCGGCAAAUUGACUCCGUAACUUCGGAAUAAGGAGUGCUCGAAAGAGCCGCAGAGAAUAGGCCCAGGCGACUGUUUAGCAAAAACACAGGUCUCUGCCAAAUCGAAAGAUGAAGUAUAGGGGCUGACACCUGCCCGGUGCCGGAAGGUUAAGAGGAGGAGUGCAAGCUCCGAAUUGAAGCCCCGGUAAACGGCGGCCGUAACUAUAACGGUCCUAAGGUAGCGAAAUUCCUUGUCGGGUAAGUUCCGACCCGCACGAAUGGUGUAACGAUCUGGGCACUGUCUCAACUACCCACCCGGCGAAAUUGUAGUACCGGUGAAGAUGCCGGUUACCUGCGGCAAGACGGAAAGACCCCAUGGAGCUUUACUGUAGCCUGAUAUUGGGUUUCGGAAAUCUAUGUACAGGAUAGGCGGGAGACUGGGAAGUAUGAGCGUCAGCUUAUACGGAGUCGUUGUUGGGAUACCGCCCUUAGGUUUCUGGAAUUCUAACCUGCGACCGUGAAUCCGGUCGGGGGACAUUGUCAGGUGGGCAGUUUGACUGGGGCGGUCGCCUCCGAAAAGGUAACGGAGGCGCUCAAAGGUUGGCUCAGCACGGACGGAAACCGUGCCUCAGAGUGUAAACGCAAAAGCCAGCCUAACUGCGAGGAUGACGGUCCGAGCAGUAACGAAAGUUGGAGUUAG